rnacentral:rRNA from 1 species
UACGGAGGGGCAGCUACGUGUUCGGUGAAUUACUGGGCGUAAAGCGCACGUAGGCGGCUUUGUAAGUUAGAGGUGAAAGCCCGGGGCUUACUACGUCGAACUGCCUUUAAGACUAGCAUUCGCUUGAAUCCAGGAGAGGUGAGUGGAAUUCCGAGUGUAGAGGUGAAAUUCGUAGAUAUUCGGAAGAACACCAGUGGCGAAGGCGGCUCACUGGACUGGUAUUGACGCUGAGGUGCGAAAGCGUGGGGAGCAAACAGG